rnacentral:rRNA from 1 species
UACGUAGGGUGCGAGCGUUGUCCGGAAUUAUUGGGCGUAAAGAGCUCGUAGGCGGUCUGUUGCGUCGGCUGUGAAAACCCGGGGCUCAACCCCGGGCCUGCAGCCGAUACGGGCAGACUAGAGUUCGGCAGGGGAGACUGGAAUUCCUGGUGUAGCGGUGAAAUGCGCAGAUAUCAGGAGGAACACCGGUGGCGAAGGCGGGUCUCUGGGCCGAUACUGACGCUGAGGAGCGAAAGUGUGGGGAGCAAACAGG